CCUACGGGUGGCUGCAGUCGAGAAUCAUUCACAAUGGGGGAAACCCUGAUGGUGCGACGCCGCGUGGGGGAAUGAAGGUCUUCGGAUUGUAAACCCUUGUCAUGUGGGAGCCAAUUAAAAAGAUAGUACCACAAGAGGAAGAGACGGAUAACUCUGUGCCAGCAGCCGCGGUAAUACAGAGGUCUCAAGCGUUGUUCGGAAUCACUGGGCGUAAGGCGUGCGUAGGCUGUUUCGUAAGUCGUGUGUGAAAGGCGCGGGCACAACCCGCGGACGGCACAUGAUACUGCGAGACUAGAGUAAUGGAGGGGGAACCGGAAUUCUCGGUGUAGCAGUGAAAUGCGUAGAUAUCGAGAGGAACACUCGUGGCGAAGGCGGGUUCCUGGACAUUAACUGACGCUGAGGCACGAAGGCCAGGGGAGCGAAAGGGAUUAGAUACCCCGGUAGUC
rnacentral:rRNA from 1 species